AGAACGAACGCUGGCGGCAUGCCUAACGCAUGCAAGUCGAACGAAGCCUUCGGGCUUAGUGGCGCACGGGUGCGUAACGCGUGGGAAUCUGCCCCUCGGUUCGGAAUAACAGUUAGGAAUGACUGCUAAUACCGGAUGAUGACGAAAGUCCAAAGAUUUAUCGCCGAGGGAUGAGCCCGCGUAGGAUUAGCUAGUUGGUGAGGUAAAGGCUCACCAAGGCGACGAUCCUUAGCUGGUCUGAGAGGAUGAUCAGCCACACUGGGACUGAGACACGGCCCAGACUCCUACGGGAGGCAGCAGUGGGGAAUAUUGGACAAUGGGCGAAAGCCUGAUCCAGCAAUGCCGCGUGAGUGAUGAAGGCCUUAGGGUCGUAAAGCUCUUUUACCCGGGAUGAUAAUGACAGUACGGAGAAUAAGCUCCGGCUAACUCCGCGCCAGCACGCCGC
rnacentral:rRNA from 1 species